GCGGAUAUCGUAUAACGGCUAUUAUGUGACCUUCCCAAGGUUGAGACGGGAGUUCGACUCUCCCUAUCCGCACCA
rnacentral:tRNA from 1 species